rnacentral:rRNA from 1 species
UACGUAGGGGGCAAGCGUUGUCCGGAAUCAUUGGGCGUAAAGAGCGUGUAGGCGGCUUGGUAAGUCCGCUGUGAAAGUCCAGGGCUCAACCCUGGAAUGCCGGUGGAAACUGUCAAGCUUGAGUCCGGAAGAGGCGAGUGGAAUUCCUGGUGUAGCGGUGAAAUGCGCAGAUAUCGGAAAGAACACCAACGGCGAAAGCACUCUGCUGGGCCGACACUGACACUGAGAGACGAAAGCUAGGGGAGCGAAUGGG